rnacentral:rRNA from 1 species
AUUGAACGCUGGCGGCAGGCUUAACACAUGCAAGUCGAGCGGGGGAGGUUGCUUCGGUAACUGACCUAGCGGCGGACGGGUGAGUAAUGCUUAGGAAUCUGCCUAUUAGUGGGGGACAACAUUCCGAAAGGGAUGCUAAUACCGCAUACGCCCUACGGGGGAAAGCAGGGGAUCUUCGGACCUUGCGCUAAUAGAUGAGCCUAAGUCGGAUUAGCUAGUUGGUGGGGUAAAGGCCUACCAAGGCGACGAUCUGUAGCGGGUCUGAGAGGAUGAUCCGCCACACUGGGACUGAGACACGGCCCAGACUCCUACGGGAGGCAGCAGUGGGGAAUAUUGGACAAUGGGCGAAAGCCUGAUCCAGCCAUGCCGCGUGUGUGAAGAAGGUCUUCGGAUUGUAAAGCACUUUAAGUUGGGAGGAAGGGCAGUAAGUUAAUACCUUGCUGUUUUGACGUUACCGACAGAAUAAGCACCGGCUAACUCUGUGCCAGCAGCCGCCGUAA